GAGCUCGAUGAGUAGGGCGGGACACGUGGUAUCCUGUCUGAAUAUGGGGGGACCAUCCUCCAAGGCUAAAUACUCCUGACUGACCGAUAGUGAACCAGUACCGUGAGGGAAAGGCGAAAAGAACCCCGGCGAGGGGAGUGAAAAAGAACCUGAAACCGUGUACGUACAAGCAGUGGGAGCACAGGUUUACCUGUGUGACUGCGUACCUUUUGUAUAAUGGGUCAGCGACUUAUA
rnacentral:rRNA from 1 species